rnacentral:rRNA from 1 species
ACGGAGGGUGCAAGCGUUAUCCGGAAUCAUUGGGUUUAAAGGGUCCGCAGGCGGAUUUAUAAGUCAGUGGUGAAAUCCUAUCGCUUAACGAUAGAACUGCCAUUGAUACUGUAAGUCUUGAAUUCGGUCGGAGUGGGCGGAAUGUGUAGUGUAGCGGUGAAAUGCAUAGAUAUUACACAGAACACCGAUAGCGAAGGCAGCUCACUAGGCCUGAAUUGACGCUCAGGGACGAAAGCGUGGGGAUCAAACAGGAUUAGAUACCCUGGUAGUCCACGCUGUAAACGAUGAUUACUCGUUUUCGGCGAUAUACAGUCGGAGACUAAGCGAAAGUGAUAAGUAAUCCACCUGGGGAGUACGAUCGCAAGGUUG